GGUCUGUGAUGAUAGGUAAAAGGUAUGAUGCUAUACACCCCUCUACUUUUCAGAGCCUUGCUCUCCCAGGGUUCUCUCUUACAUUCCAGUCUAGCUCAAGGUGUGCUUGACUGGUUGUGAUGCUCCCUGACAUCUUAAAUGGGUAUCUAGCCUGUCCAAGUUUCUGAGAGCUUAGAGUCAUGGCAGCAAGAUGCACCCAACAAAAAUAAUGGUAAAGGAGAAUUAAUAGGCUUGAAGAGAAAGGGGCAAAGCAUGAUCUGAAGUUUUCAAUCUGAGACC
ensembl:scaRNA